rnacentral:rRNA from 1 species
GGUUGACCUCGGAUCAGGUAGGGAUACCCGCUGAACUUAAGCAUAUCAAUAAGCGGAGGAAAAGAAACCAACCGGGAUUGCCCUAGUAACGGCGAGUGAAGCGGCAAGAGCUCAAAUUUGAAAGCUGGCUCCUUCGGGGUCCGCAUUGUAAUUUGCAGAGGAUGCUUCGGGAGCGGUCCCCAUCUAAGUGCCCUGGAACGGGCCGUCAUAGAGGGUGAGAAUCCCGUCUGGGAUGGGGUGCCCGCGCCCGUGUGAAGCUCCUUCGACGAGUCGAGUUGUUUGGGAAUGCAGCUCUAAUUGGGUGGUAAAUUUCAUCUAAAGCUAAAUAUUGGCCGGAGACCGAUAGCGCACAAGUAGAGUGAUCGAAAGAUGAAAAGCACUUUGAAAAGAGAGUUAAACAGCACGUGAAAUUGUUGAAAGGGAAGCGCUUGCGAUCAGACUCGCCCGCGGGGUUCAGCCGGCAUUCGUGCCGGUGUACUUCCCCGUGGGCGGGCCAGCGUCGGUUUGGGCGGCCGGUCAAAGGCCCCUGGAAUGUAACGCCUCUCGGGGCGUCUUAUAGCCAGGGGUGCCAUGCGGCCUGCCCGGACCGAGGAACGCGCUUCGGCUCGGACGCUGGCAUAAUGGUCGUAAGCGACC